rnacentral:rRNA from 1 species
UGGGGAAUUUUGGACAAUGGGCGCAAGCCUGAUCCAGCAAUGCCGCGUGCAGGAUGAAGGCCUUCGGGUUGUAAACUGCUUUUGUACGGAACGAAACGGCUCUGGUUAAUACCUGGGGCUAAUGACGGUGCCGUAAGAAUAAGCACCGGCUAACUACGUGCCAGCAGCCGCGGUAAUACGUAGGGUGUGAGCGUUAAUCGGAAUUACUGGGCGUAAAGCGUGCGCAGGCGGUGAUGUAAGACAGAUGUGAAAUCCCCGGGCUCAACCUGGGACCUGCAUUUGUGACUGCAUCGCUGGAGUGCGGCAGAGGGGGAUGGAAUGCCGCGUGUAGCAGUGAAAUGCGUAGAUAUGCGGAGGAACACCGAUGGCGAAGGCAGCCUCCUGGGCCAGUACUGACGCUCAUGCACGAAAGCGUGGGGAGCAAA